UUUCAGUUAAUGUCACUUAUAAACAAACAGAAGGGAAACUUUCAUCCUCUCCUUCCUCACUACUGACUGCAUUGUGGAAAAUUAUUAUUUUAUAACUAAAAGAACUUAAAUAAACCUAACUCCCUGUAGUUUUUGUAACAUACAUUACAUGCAAGGUAUCUGAAAGAAAAGAAGUCUGAAUUUAGGCUUUGUCUAUACUUAAGUGGUAAAAAGCAUUACUAGUAGGAACCAAAAAAGGUUUGGCUACAAACUGUAUUCUUGGUAAUGUUUCUAAAUGCAUUCUGUUAAUGUUAAAAUUUCUAACAUACACAUUUAAUUUCUUAUGUGUAAGUUUUUUAAGAAAAAUGUCUUCUUCAGGUAUUACAUGCUUGCUGCUUUUCAUAUAAUUCCAUAUUAAUUUUCAAAAAUAAAGUUAUUUCUAGGAAAACUAAUCACUAUGUUUAUUUAGCCACAUUUGACUCCUUUAAUUCUAGCCUCUUUUUUUCCUCCUGGAGCACAAAUUCCAGGAAUACAGGAAAGUUUGGUGUAUUACUUUUUAAUUUUUGUCCAAGUGAACUUUUAAAAGUAAAUGACUGUUGUUAUGUUUUAAUCCAUCACUCCACACUUACUGAGAUGAGCUCUUUUACGUGGUAGGCAGCAUAAAAAGCACUGG
rnacentral:lncRNA from 1 species